AGAGUUUGAUCCUGGCUCAGAACGAACGCUGGCGGCGCGCCUAACACAUGCAAGUCGAACGGGCUAAAGGCGGGGAUUAGUUAGGGUGUAGAAAAGAGACUAAUCCCUCUCUUUAGUCAGUGGCGCACGGGUGAGUAACACGUAGGUAACCUACCCUCAGGAUGGGGAUACCCCCGAGAAAUCGGGCUCAAUACCGAAUAAAAUUUCAAGGUGAAAGUCCUUGAAAUCAAAGCUACGAGUAAUUGUGGCGCCUGAGGAUGGGCCUGCGGUCCUAUCAGCUAGUUGGUGAGGUAACGGCUCACCAAGGCAAAGACGGGUAGCCGGACUGAGAGGUCGGCCGGCCACACUGGAACUGAGACACGGUCCAGACUCCUACGGGAGGCAGCAGUGAGGAAUCUUGCGCAAUGGGCGAAAGCCUGACGCAGCGACGCCGCGUGGGGGAAGAAGGCCUUCGGGUUGUAAACCCCUUUCGUGAGGGAAAAAGCCCUGAGUUUAUCGAGGGGUGAUGGUACCUCAGGAAGAAGCCACGGCUAACUCUGUGCCAGCAGCCGCGGUAAGACAGAGGUGGCAAGCGUUGUUCGGAUUCACUGGGCUUAAAGCGCGUGUAGGCGUCCUGAUAAGUCAAAUGUGAAAUCCCUGGGCUUAACCCAGGAAUUGCAGUUGAAACUGUCAGGAUUGAGUCAUGCAGGGGAGGGCGGAAUUCCCGGUGUAGCGGUGAAAUGCGUAGAGAUCGGGAGGAAGGCCGGUGGCGAAGGCGGCCCUCUAGGCAAUGACUGACGCUGAGGCGCGAAAGCGUGGGGAGCAAACAGGAUUAGAUACCCUGGUAGUCCACGCCCUAAACGGUGGGUACUAGGUGUGGGUGGCAGUAGCUAUCCGUGCCGAAGGGAAACCAUUAAGUACCCCGCCUGGGGAGUACGGCCGCAAGGUUGAAACUCAAAGGAAUUGACGGGGGCCCGCACAAGCGGUGGAGCAUGUGGUUUAAUUCGACGCUACGCGAAGAACCUUACCUGGGCUUGACAUGCUGGUGGUAGGAACCUGAAAGGGUAACGAUCCCGAGUAAUCGGGAAGCCAGCACAGGUGCUGCAUGGCUGUCGUCAGCUCGUGUCGUGAGAUGUUGGGUUAAGUCCCGCAACGAGCGCAACCCUUGUCUCUAGUUGCUACGCAAGAGCACUCUAGAGAGACUGCCGGUGACAAACCGGAGGAAGGUGGGGAUGACGUCAAGUCCUCAUGGCCCUUAUGGGUAGGGCUUCACACGUCAUACAAUGGUGCAUACAGAGGGUUGCCAACCCGCGAGGGGGAGCUAAUCUCAGAAAAUGCAUCGUAGUCCGGAUCGUAGUCUGCAACUCGACUACGUGAAGCUGGAAUCGCUAGUAAUCGCGGAUCAGAAUGUCGCGGUGAAUACGUUCCCGGGUCUUGUACACACCGCCCGUCACACCAUGGGAGUGGGCUUUGCCAGAAGCCGUUAGCCUAACCGCAAGGAGGGCGACGACCACGGCAGGGUUCAUGACUGGGGUGAAGUCGUAACAAGGUAACC
rnacentral:rRNA from 1 species